GCCUGGGUAGCUCAGUCGGUUAAGCGUCUGACUUCAGCUCAGGUCAUGAUCUCAUGGUUCGUGGGUUCAAGCCCCUCGUUGGGCU
rnacentral:tRNA from 1 species